rnacentral:rRNA from 1 species
AUACGUAGGGGGCAAGCGUUGUCCGGAAUGACUGGGCGUAAAGGGCGUGUAGGCGGCCGAUUAAGUCUGGAGUGAAAGUCCUGCUUUCAAGGUGGGAAUUGCUUUGGAGACUGGUUGGCUUGAGUGCGGAAGAGGUAAGUGGAAUUCCCAGUGUAGCGGUGAAAUGCGUAGAGAUUGGGAGGAACACCAGUGGCGAAGGCGACUUACUGGGCCGUAACUGACGCUGAGGCGCGAAAGCGGUGGGGAGC